UGGGGAAUAUUGGACAAUGGGCGCAAGCCUGAUCCAGCAAUUCCGCGUGGGUGAAGAAGGUCUUCGGAUUGUAAAGCCCUUUCGGCGGGGACGAUGAUGACGGUACCCGCAGAAGAAGCCCCGGCUAACUUCGUGCCAGCAGCCGCGGUAAUACGAAGGGGGCUAGCGUUGCUCGGAAUGACUGGGCGUAAAGGGCGCGUAGGCGGCACACACAGUCAGGCGUGAAAUUCCUGGGCUUAACCUGGGGGCUGCGUUUGAGACGUGUGAGCUAGAGGAUGGAAGAGGCUCGUGGAAUUCCCAGUGUAGAGGUGAAAUUCGUAGAUAUUGGGAAGAACACCGGUGGCGAAGGCGGCGAGCUGGUCCAUUACUGACGCUGAGGCGCGAAAGCGUGGGGAGCAAACAGG
rnacentral:rRNA from 1 species